GCAGCGCGGGGCAACCUGGCGGCGAGUGGCGAACGGGUGAGUAAUAUAUCGGAACGUACCCAAGAGUGGGGGAUAACGCAGCGAAAGUUGCGCUAAUACCGCAUACGAUCCAAGGAUGAAAGCAGGGGACCGCAAGGCCUUGUGCUCCUGGAGCGGCCGAUAUCUGAUUAGCUAGUUGGUGAGGUAAAGGCUCACCAAGGCGACGAUCAGUAGCUGGUCUGAGAGGACGACCAGCCACACUGGAACUGAGACACGGUCCAGACUCCUACGGGAGGCAGCAGUGGGGAAUUUUGGACAAUGGGCGCAAGCCUGAUCCAGCAAUGCCGCGUGAGUGAAGAAGGCCUUCGGGUUGUAAAGCUCUUUUGUCAGGGAAGAAACGGCUGUGGCUAAUAUCCACGGCUAAUGACGGUACCUGAAGAAUAAGCACCGGCUAACUACGUGCCAGCAGCCGCGGUAAUACGUAGGGUGCAAGCGUUAAUCGGAAUUACUGGGCGUAAAGCGUGCGCAGGCGGUUUUGUAAGUCUGACGUGAAAUCCCCGGGCUUAACCUGGGAAUUGCGUUGGAGACUGCAAGGCUAGAAUCUGGCAGAGGGGGGUAGAAUUCCACGUGUAGCAGUGAAAUGCGUAGAGAUGUGGAGGAACACCGAUGGCGAAGGCAGCCCCCUGGGUCAAGAUUGACGCUCAUGCACGAAAGCGUGGGGAGCAAACAGGAUUAGAUACCCUGGUAGUCCACGCCCUAAACGAUGUCUACUAGUUGUCGGGUCUUAAUUGACUUGGUAACGCAGCUAACGCGUGAAGUAGACCGCCUGGGGAGUACGGUCGC
rnacentral:rRNA from 1 species